UACGUAGGGGGCGAGCGUUGUCCGGAGUUACUGGGCGUAAAGGGCAUGCAGGCGGUCCGACACGUUUUGUGUGACAGCGGGUGGCUUAACUACCCGAGGAUGCGAAAGACGGUUGGACUUGAGGACUCGAGAGGGACACGGAAUUCCGGGUGGAGUGGUGAAAUGCGUAGAGAGUCCGGAGGAACACCGAAGGCGAAGGCAGUGUCCUGGCGAGUGACUGACGCUGAGGUGCGAAAGCCAGGGGAGCGAACGGG
rnacentral:rRNA from 1 species